GCGGCCGUGGCGGAAUGGCAGACGCGUACGUUUGAGGGGCGUAUGGGCAACCGUGCUGGUUCGAGUCCAGUCGGCCGCACCA
rnacentral:tRNA from 1 species